UACGGGGGGGGCAAGCGUUGUUCGGAAUUACUGGGCGUAAAGGGCUCGUAGGCGGCCAACUAAGUCAGACGUGAAAUCCCUCAGCUUAACUGGGGGAACUGCGUCCGAUACUGGAUGGCUUGAAUUCGGGAGAGGGAUGCAGAAUUCCAGGUGUAGCGGUGAAAUGCGUAGAGAUGUGGAGGAACACCAGUGGCGAAGGCGGCUUUCUGGUCUGUAACUGACGCUGAGGCGCGAAAGCGUGGGGGAGCAAACAGG
rnacentral:rRNA from 1 species